rnacentral:tRNA from 3 species
AGCAAUUUGGCGCAGUGGAAGCGCGGUAUGUUUACCACUCAUAACCCGGAGGUCGCACGAUCGAAACGUGCAAUUGCUA